UGGGACUAGAAAAGGACUUGUGUAAUACAUGGAUGUCUUGCCAAGGAUUGUAAUGCCCCACGUUCUGUGUGCCCACACAACGGCCUACAAAUGUUGUAUAUGUGUUAUAUAUAUGUACACUGUAUAACUACGCCAACGACUGUUGUACCCUCUGAUAGACUGUGGAAGACUGUUGCCGAGACCACCUUUCCUUUCACUGCAAAUGUGUGCUAUGUGCAAAAAGAAGAGGGGCAAGGCUGAAUUACAUGUUGUAUGUGUGCUAGAGUGGCAUUAAGCUAGGUAGCUGCCAUCCAGAGUGGGGGUAGUGUUGUAAAAUGGUGCGGCCCCUUUAAGAGCAGCACGUACGGAGCAGGGAUGAGUGAGUGAGCGAGUGGGAGAGAAGGAGCGGAGUUUUUGUUAAUGUUGUGUGUGGACGUAGCGACCGGAGAAACCCAUGUGCUGUAACCGUGUUACUCAGUGUUCAAUAAAUCUUCAAAGAAAGCAUACAGCGGGCGUUUUAUUCACUAACCAGCAGGAGGAAGGAAAGUGAAGGGUAUUAACCCCAAGUAUUAGCAACAGGCAAUACUUGGCCCUGGAGCAGAGAACGAAGUCUCCAACUACGGUCAGAGACGGACAGGCAGGAAAGGUUAACAACGUGAUCAGCAGCGAACGAACCGAGCACCGAUACGUUUGCGUCGCCUUGCACUGGUUCAUACUUCGACACAAGCUUCGAAGCAGGAGGGUCGGAGGUAACAACAAUAUCUGUCUGACUACCCGUGUACCGAACCCCUGCCUGAAGUAAGGCAAGUAAGUGAACUAUUUUUGUCUCUGACUACUCCGCCUCGAGUCUGCUUUUGAGUCUAGACCCUUGUGGCCCCAACCGGCUUAACAGUAAGGAGUAGAAGUAAAACGUCGUCUGAAAAAUAAAUACUCCAGUAAAGUAUAGAUACCCAAAAUGUCUACUUGUUACGUUCCCCAGUUUUCUGUGUUUGGUGGCUUUGUUUUGUGCCCUGACAGGUGAUUGAUUCCAGGAGCAGCAGUCCCCAGACUGGGGCGUCAGUGGCUGCACCUGGAUUCCUUCCCUCGCAACACAUAAAGGAAAAGGGGAAGCACCUUGGGAGUGCGUAGGCAAGCUGCCCAUGGGUCUACACCACCCGUAGUCAUCCUCCUGUCUAGAAACACUAGGCAAGACCUGGGCGGACCACCCCCUGUAUUUGGUUAGUGAGCCUUGCUAGUGCUCAAGCUAGGUUAGGGGGGGGUGUUUCAGGUCAGAUAGGCAAGAGGGACUGUUUUGUUCAUUGUUUUGGUUCCGCCCAGCCCCUUUUCCCAAGCAACCCGUAUAUAUAUAUAUAUUAAUAAACAUUCCUUUUUACGGGCUAUAUGUGUUCUGGUCGUCCGUGUACCUACACGCACCACACCUCUUUCCCCCAUUACCACAUUGAGAUGACGAGCGGCGGGUCGUUGCGUUCCCUCCUCCACGAGGCGUGCGUAACACUACUUCAGUACAGUAACAAAGGAUUUGUUUAUAGAACACAACAGGGGCGCGGUGAAGGUCCAAUGUACACAGCGGCAUCGCCCUGCUCCGUGUGUGAGCGACAGCGUGCACCCCCUCGCCGAGCUUCCAGCCGGAGCAGGCGAGGCCUGUGUGCUUGCCGAGGAGGAGGCCGCUGCUGCCGCCACUGCUGCUGGGGCUUGUGCAUCUCUGUACCUGCGUCAGAGAUGCACGCCUAAACUUAAC
ensembl:lncRNA